rnacentral:lncRNA from 1 species
CCUGAGUGGCGGGGACUACAGGUGUGAACACUGUGCCCAGCUAAUUUAUUAAAUUUUGUUGUAGAGAUGGGGUCUCAUUAUGAUGCCCAGGCGGGUCUUGAAUUUCUGGACUCAAGUGAUCCUCCUGCCUUGGCCUCCUAAAAUCCUGGGAUUAUAGGGGUGAGCCCCUUUGCCCGGCCUAAAUCUGGCUCUUCAGAUUCCGAGAGAGAGGGUACAGGAGCCUCUCUGCUCAGCCUGAAGAACACCCAGAAGGAGGGAACCUCAAAGAGCCCCGAGAUGGAAGGCUCUCCUGGCAGCGCCUCCUGCAGGGGUGCCUGUGGAACAGGCUGGCCCCAGGGCUAGGAGAAUUCAUGGCCCAGUCUGCUUCACUGGGCUGCCACAGUGUGAGAGCUGGGCCUAGACCUGGCUCCUGACAUCCUAGUGAGGGCUGGGACCUUGGUGGUUCUGAAAGACCUUUACUGGAUGGUUCCUUCCAGAGUGGGGUAUGGGAUACACACACGCUGCGGCCAGGCAUUACGCCAGCUCCCGGAUGCCUCAGCCUCGUGAAUUCGGGGCAGGACGCUCAGGGCCCAUGGUCAGCACAGCGGUAGCGCUUCAGGCCCAGGGCAUCCAGC